rnacentral:SRP_RNA from 1 species
GUUACGGUCCCGCGCAACGGCAGCCCGUGAACCAUGUCAGGCGGGGAACCGAGCAGCAUUAAGCGGUCACUCCAUGUGCCGCGGGUGAGUCGUAUCCGA